rnacentral:rRNA from 1 species
GAUGAACGCUGGCGGCGUGCCUAAUACAUGCAAGUCGAGCGAACAGGCGAGGAGCUUGCUCCUCUGACGUUAGCGGCGGACGGGUGAGUAACACGUGGAUAACCUACCUAUAAGACUGGGAUAACUUCGGGAAACCGGAGCUAAUACCGGAUAAUAUAUUGAACCGCAUGGUUCAAUAGUGAAAGACGGUUUUGCUGUCACUUAUAGAUGGAUCCGCGCCGCAUUAGCUAGUUGGUAAGGUAACGGCUUACCAAGGCAACGAUGCGUAGCCGACCUGAGAGGGGGAUCGGCAACACUGGAACUGAGACACGGUCCAGACUCCUACGGGAGGCAGCAGUAGGGAAUCUUCCGCAAUGGGCGAAAGCCUGACGGAGCAACGCCGCGUGAGUAAUGAAGGUCUUCGGAUCGUAAAACUCUGUUAUUAGGGAAGAACAAAUGUGUAAGUAACUAUGCACGUCUUGACGGUACCUAAUCAGAAAGCCACGGCUAACUACGU